AAGGCCCAGACAGCCAGGAUGUUGGCUUAGAAGCAGCCAUCAUUUAAAGAAAGCGUAAUAGCUCACUGGUCGAGUCGGCCUGCGCGGAAGAUGUAACGGGGCUAAACCAUGCACCGAAGCUGCGGCAGCGACGCUUAUGCGUUGUUGGGUAGGGGAGCGUUCUGUAAGCCUGCGAAGGUGUACUGUGAGGUAUGCUGGAGGUAUCAGAAGUGCGAAUGCUGACAUAAGUAACGAUAAAGCGGGUGAAAAGCCCGCUCGCCGGAAGACCAAGGGUUCCUGUCCAACGUUAAUCGGGGCAGGGUGAGUCGACCCCUAAGGCGAGGCCGAAAGGCGUAGUCGAUGGGAAACAGGUUAAUAUUCCUGUACUUGGUGUUACUGCGAAGGGGGGACGGAGAAGGCUAUGUUGGCCGGGCGACGGUUGUCCCGGUUUAAGCGUGUAGGCUGGUUUUCCAGGCAAAUCCGGAAAAUCAAGGCUGAGGCGUGAUGACGAGGCACUACGGUGCUGAAGCAACAAAUGCCCUGCUUCCAGGAAAAGCCUCUAAGCAUCAGGUAACAUCAAAUCGUACCCCAAACCGACACAGGUGGUCAGGUAGAGAAUACCAAGGCGCUUGAGAGAACUCGGGUGAAGGAACUAGGCAAAAUGGUGCCGUAACUUCGGGAGAAGGCACGCUGAUAUGUAGGUGAAGUCCCUCGCGGAUGGAGCUGAAAUCAGUCGAAGAUACCAGCUGGCUGCAACUGUUUAUUAAAAACACAGCACUGUGCAAACACGAAAGUGGACGUAUACGGUGUGACGCCUGCCCGGUGCCGGA
rnacentral:rRNA from 1 species